rnacentral:rRNA from 2 species
GGGAAGUGCGAGUGCUAUACAUGCAGUCGACGAACUCUGGUAUUGAUUGGUGCUUGCAUCAUGAUUUACAUUUGAGUGAGUGGCGAACUGGUGAGUAACACGUGGGAAACCUGCCCAGAAGCGGGGGAUAACACCUGGAAACAGAUGCUAAUACCGCAUAACAACUUGGACCGCAUGGUCCGAGCUUGAAAGAUGGCUUCGGCUAUCACUUUUGGAUGGUCCCGCGGCGUAUUAGCUAGAUGGUGGGGUAACGGCUCACCAUGGCAAUGAUACGUAGCCGACCUGAGAGGGUAAUCGGCCACAUUGGGACUGAGACACGGCCCAAACUCCUACGGGAGGCAGCAGUAGGGAAUCUUCCACAAUGGACGAAAGUCUGAUGGAGCAACGCCGCGUGAGUGAAGAAGGGUUUCGGCUCGUAAAACUCUGUUGUUAAAGAAGAACAUAUCUGAGAGUAACUGUUCAGGUAUUGACGGUAUUUAACCAGAAAGUCACGGCUAACUACGUGCCAGCAGCCGCGGUAAUACGUAGGUGGCAAGCGUUGUCCGGAUUUAUUGGGCGUAAAGCGAGCGCAGGCGGUUUUUUAAGUCUGAUGUGAAAGCCUUCGGCUCAACCGAAGAAGUGCAUCGGAAACUGGGAAACUUGAGUGCAGAAGAGGACAGUGGAACUCCAUGUGUAGCGGUGAAAUGCGUAGAUAUAUGGAAGAACACCAGUGGCGAAGGCGGCUGUCUGGUCUGUAACUGACGCUGAGGCUCGAAAGUAUGGGUAGCAAACAGGAUUAGAUACCCUGGUAGUCCAUACCGUAAACGAUGAAUGCUAAGUGUUGGAGGGUUUCCGCCCUUCAGUGCUGCAGCUAACGCAUUAAGCAUUCCGCCUGGGGAGUACGGCCGCAAGGCUGAAACUCAAAGGAAUUGACGGGGGCCCGCACAAGCGGUGGAGCAUGUGGUUUAAUUCGAAGCUACGCGAAGAACCUUACCAGGUCUUGACAUACUAUGCAAAUCUAAGAGAUUAGACGUUCCCUUCGGGGACAUGGAUACAGGUGGUGCAUGGUUGUCGUCAGCUCGUGUCGUGAGAUGUUGGGUUAAGUCCCGCAACGAGCGCAACCCUUAUUAUCAGUUGCCAGCAUUAAGUUGGGCACUCUGGUGAGACUGCCGGUGACAAACCGGAGGAAGGUGGGGAUGACGUCAAAUCAUCAUGCCCCUUAUGACCUGGGCUACACACGUGCUACAAUGGAUGGUACAACGAGUUGCGAACUCGCGAGAGUAAGCUAAUCUCUUAAAGCCAUUCUCAGUUCGGAUUGUAGGCUGCAACUCGCCUACAUGAAGUCGGAAUCGCUAGUAAUCGCGGAUCAGCAUGCCGCGGUGAAUACGUUCCCGGGCCUUGUACACACCGCCCGUCACACCAUGAGAGUUUGUAACACCCAAAGUCGGUGGGGUAACCUUUUAGGAACCAGCCGCCUAAUGGUGAUCAGAGUUCGGU